rnacentral:rRNA from 1 species
AUGGUUGUCGUCAGCUCGUGUCGUGAGAUGUUGGGUUAAGUCCCGCAACGAGCGCAACCCCUAUCCUUAGUUGCCAGCAUUCAGUUGGGCACUCUAGGGAGACUGCCGGUGACAAACCGGAGGAAGGUGGGGAUGACGUCAAAUCAUCAUGCCCCUUAUGAGUUGGGCUACACACGUGCUACAAUGGACGGUACAAAGGGCAGCGAGACCGCGAGGUGGAGCCAAUCCCAUAAAGCCGUUCCCAGUUCGGAUUGCAGGCUGCAACUCGCCUGCAUGAAGUCGGAAUCGCUAGUAAUCGCAGGUCAGCAUACUGCGGUGAAUACGUUCCCGGGUCUUGUACACACCGCCCGUCACACCACGAGAGUUUGCAACACCCGAAGCCGGUGAGUAAC